rnacentral:misc_RNA from 1 species
UCCUGCUUGGCGCAGGCAGUUCCUCUAGAGUGCCCAACUAAAUGCUGGCAACUAGAAGCGAGGGUUGCGCUCGUUGCGGGACUUAACCCAACAUCUCACGACACGAGCUGACGACAGCCAUGCAGCACCUUGCACUCUGCCAAGUUUUACCUUGGAGGCCCUAUCUCUAGGGUUGUCAGAGGCAUUCUAGCCCAGGUAAGGUUCUUCGCGUUGCG